rnacentral:rRNA from 1 species
GACAGAGGGUGCAAACGUUGCUCGGAAUUACUGGGCGUAAAGCGCGUGUAGGCGGGAAGAUAAGUCGGGUGUGAAAGCCCUUGGCUCAACUGAGGAAGUGCAUCCGAAACUGGCAAGCUAGAGUACUAAAGAGGGUCGCGGAAUUCCCGGUGUAGAGGUGAAAUUCGUAGAUAUCGGGAGGAACACCGGUGGCGAAGGCGGCGACCUGGGUAGAUACUGACGCUGAGGUGCGAAAGCGUGGGGAGCAAACAGG